rnacentral:rRNA from 1 species
AAAUUGAAGAGUUUGAUCAUGGCUCAGAUUGAACGCUGGCGGCAGGCCUAACACAUGCAAGUCGAACGGUAACAGGAAACAGCUUGCUGUUUCGCUGACGAGUGGCGGACGGGUGAGUAAUGUCUGGGAAACUGCCUGAUGGAGGGGGAUAACUACUGGAAACGGUAGCUAAUACCGCAUAAUGUCGCAAGACUAAAGAGGGGGACCUUCGGGCCUCUUGCCAUCGGAUGUGCCCAGAUGGGAUUAGCUAGUAGGUGGGGUAACGGCUCACCUAGGCGACGAUCCCUAGCUGGUCUGAGAGGAUGACCAGCCACACUGGAACUGAGACACGGUCCAGACUCCUACGGGAGGCAGCAGUGGGGAAUAUUGCACAAUGGGCGCAAGCCUGAUGCAGCCAUGCCGCGUGUAUGAAGAAGGCCUUCGGGUUGUAAAGUACUUUCAGCGGGGAGGAAGGGAGUAAAGUUAAUACCUUUACUCAUUGACGUUACCCGCAGAAGAAGCACCGGCUAACUCCGUGCCAGCAGCCGCGGUAAUA